rnacentral:rRNA from 1 species
CCUAGGGGAGGCAGCAGUAGGGAAUAUUGGGCAAUGGGCGCAAGCCUGACCCAGCGACGCCGCGUGAGGGAUGAAGGUCUUCGGAUUGUAAACCUCUUUCAGUAGGGAAGAAGCGAAAGUGACGGUACCUGAAGAAGAAGCACCGGCUAACUAUGUGCCAGCAGCCGCGG